GUACGGACAUGCAGACAGACAAGGGUAAAACUUAGUGCCCCUUUUGCUAUGGCAGGGACAUACAAAAAAUUUGUUCUUGCCGUUUGCAAAAGAGCAUGCUGGUAGGGUGAAUGAAUAACAAAAAUGUAAAAGACAGUUAAUACAUUUAAUCAUAUGGUAAUCAAAUACAAAAUUAUUGUAAAAACAUAAUUAUUUUCCUAGUAAAAGUGUACAUUCAACCUAGCUAAACCAUGAUUCUUCUUUUAGUGAAAGCAAGUUUGUGUAUUAAUAGUGAAAACACCUAAAUUUAAAUAAAUAACAUGACAAGCACAUCUUCCUUAAAUUUUGAUUUCCUGAAUUUCUUGUACUUGUUAGAAACAUUUUAAGUAUUAGUCGAACUUUCAAAAUUGUUCCUAAUUAAAUAAAAAUAUGUAAAAUUAUUUAAUAGUAUACUUUGUCUGGUGUCUUUGGGUAUAAAAGGACUUUGUACCUGUAAUAGCACAUUUUAAUGUGAAUAUUGUCAAUGUCCAAAAUGAAAAUUCAAAUUAAUUAUUCACCGCUCCACCAUUUCUCCUUUGCAUAUAUAUAUAUUGCAUAUAUAAAUCUUAAAUAAAAAGAUUUAAUGCCAAUAAAUUAUUGUUCAAGAUAAACAUUGGAAUAGUAUUGUCUGAGGAUACAGAAGUAAACUAGACAAAACGAUCAGUAAUCACCACAAAGCCACAGAAUUUAUUGUUGGUAUAGUUGGUCUGUUUCUUAUUUUCAAUUUCUAUCUUCAUUUU
rnacentral:lncRNA from 1 species